AUUUUAGAGCAGGUGGUUGAUAAGGAAGUCCUCUCUGAAGAGGUGACAUGUGACCUGAGGCUCAGGGAGAGUAUUUCUGAUGAGGGGGCAGCAAGUGUAAAGGCCCUGAGACAGGAACGAAUUCGCAAGGUUGAACGGAAGGAAGACUGAAUUCUGAAUGAGCCAUUACAGAAGAGAAGUUCACGAAGAAGCACUCCCCGUCCUGAUGCUAUGCCAUGGAUGGAAAACAAAUGCCUGACUAAGGAUGCAAGACCCAUCCUAGAUUGCCCCCACCUUUGAAAAAUCCUCUUUGCAUCUUUCCACUUUUCUGCCGUGAAACUACCAGUCCAUGCAUCAAACACGUCAAGUCCUUGGUGCAAGGUCAAAGACACAAGCUAACUCCUUCGCUGGAAAUGCAC